CCCUACGGGAGGCAGCAGUGAGGAAUAUUGGUCAAUGGACGGAAGUCUGAACCAGCCAUGCCGCGUGCAGGAAGACGGCUCUAUGAGUUGUAAACUGCUUUUGUACAAGGGUAAACCUGAAUACGUGUAUUCAGCUGAAAGUACUGUACGAAUAAGGAUCGGCUAACUCCGUGCCAGCAGCCGCGGUAAUACGGAGGAUGCGAGCGUUAUCCGGAUUUAUUGGGUUUAAAGGGUGCGUAGGCGGAACAUUAAGUCAGCGGUAAAAUCGAGGGGCUCAACCCCUUUAAGCCGUUGAAACUGGUGAU
rnacentral:rRNA from 1 species